AGUAGGAGAGAAUUACAUUUAAACUGCAUUUCCUAGUGAAAAUAGACUGAGAGUUUAACUAUCAUCUGUGGAGAGUCUGUGAGAGGAUUAAGAGAUGGUAGAGAAUAGGACUAAGAAAGUUAAAUGUCAUCUGUUAAGAGGCUGUGAGAGUCCUCUGUCAUUGUGAAAGAACCACAUUUAACCCUUAUUUUGUGAAGAGACAUUUUGAAGAGAAUUACCAUCCUGAGAAAACUAUAAAUUCCCAGAAUGAGGAGGAAUCAUUGUCAGCGUUGGUGGGAAAUAUCCCAUCAGGUCCCUGUCUAUGGUAGAAUAUACUUGUAAUCUCAGAUACCAGAAAGGAUCAGGCGGGCAGAUCUUUUGAGUUCAGUUCUGAGCUACAGUGUGCUCUGCAGAUCAGGUAUCUGUACUGAGUGUGGUACCAGUAGAGGGAUGCCUUGGGAGUGAGAGGAAGGGAUCGCCACUUUGCCAAAAGAAGGGUGAAUCAGCCCACAUUGGAAAAGGAGCAUGGCAAGCUCCCAUGCUGAUAUGUAGCAGGAUAGAGCUAAUGUCAGUGCAAGGGUCAAGAAGAGGGAAGAAAAGGGAGGGGAGGAGAGGAGAGAUUCCAUCUGUGUCUCUUUCUCAUGGUUUCGAAGAACAAAGAAUUGCCUACUGACAUUGAGCCAUAAGAAAUGACAAAUAGGAAAAGUAUCAACGAGAGAAGAUAUAUGAACCACUGUAGAAGGAAGAUAGCUGAGGUGGCUUAACAAUAUACACAUGGACUACAGAAACCAACUGGUGUUGAAAAGCUUUCUCAAAGAUUUACCCAGGCCAAGAUCUAACCAGACAGCAAAAGAAAUCCUAAGUUUAGGCUAAUGGGAAGAUUCCUACUCAAGCUUGAAAAAUUAUUGAUUCUCCCUUUCAUCAGACAGGUGGUAUGGAAAUUGGUAAGUCUCUUUGACCAAGAUUUGAGUGAGCCAGUUCAAUACCCCAAGACUCUCAUUGUAAUAUAGCCCAGCCACUCAUUGUGAUAUUCAUUGUCUCAUUGAUUGUUACCAAGCAGAAUUGAUUGCCACCCUUGGGAACACUUGCUCUUCCAAGAGUAUACAAACUGUGAGCCCACCACCCAUGAGGGGUCUUUGGCACU